rnacentral:rRNA from 1 species
GACGAACGCUGGCGGCGUGCUUAACACAUGCAAGUCGAACGGAAAGGCCCUGCUUUUGUGGGGUGCUCGAGUGGCGAACGGGUGAGUAACACGUGAGUAACCUGCCCUUGACUUUGGGAUAACUUCAGGAAACUGGGGCUAAUACCGGAUAGGAGCUCCUGCUGCAUGGUGGGGGUUGGAAAGUUUCGGCGGUUGGGGAUGGACUCGCGGCUUAUCGGCUUGUUGGUGGGGUAGUGGCUUACCAAGGCUUUGACGGGUAGCCGGCCUGAGAGGGUGACCGGCCGCAUUGGGACUGAGAUACGGCCCAGACUCCUACGGGAGGCAGCAGUGGGGAAUAUUGCACAAUGGGCGGAAGCCUGAUGCAGCAACGCCGCGUGCGGGAUGACGGCCUUCGGGUUGUAAACCGCUUUCGCCUGUGACGAAGCGUGAGUGACGGUAAUGGGUAAAGAAGCACCGGCUAACUACGUG